rnacentral:lncRNA from 1 species
AGAGUCAUUCAUCGUAAAGGCAAGAAGUGAGCAGCUGUGUGCCCAGGAGGAGGAAGAAAAGGGGGAUUCUAGCCAGGAUCGUAUCAAAAGAACGCACCACUUUUGUGCAGCUGAUGAAAUGGACUUGAUCAAAUAAUAAAGAGAACGUGGAUGCUGUGAGGAAUAAGGAGUGGGAUAAUUAAGACACAUUAGCGAGCUCAGCGGGAAACAAAGAAGGCAGCUCAAAGAAGUCACCUUUCUCUUAAAAGGAAGAGAAAAAGAAGGAGGUAUGAAGCAUUCCCCACCUACUCAAGUGUCCCAGCUGCAGUUUUUUGUGGUGGAGUCUGGUGGAGCUGGGAGGACAAUAAAAAGCAUUGAGCCCCGUGGGGAGCCUCAACCACAAAGACAGUGAGUCAAACUGUGCUUCUCCAAUGUCCCUUUUGCUUCUGAAAUGUCACUAACACGGGCUUCUAUCUUUUAAAAAAAAUAAACAUAUAUUUUUGAAAGUACAAGAAAGCUAAGGGCAGACUGCUGCUUUUAAAGACUCUGAGUGUCAAGAGAAGAUGGAGAAGUGUGAAGAACAUAAGCCUCCCCACUCCCAGCUUUUGAGCAUCACUGGAUCACUGUAACAGCUUCCGUUGUACCUGUUCUCUGUCCUGUGUGACUUUGACAGUAAAAAAAAAAGAAGGAAACUCUGUCUCUCCCCAUGAGUACAAGCACAUGUGAUCACAGUACAACUUCUGAGGCUAGACCAUAAGGAGCUCUUCCAAAUGAGAUCACCAGGGAAGAGUUCUGAGGUAACGCCAGUCACCAUGCAAACCCACCAGACGUUUACACGGCUUCUUCGUCCCUUCCUGGUACGAGAAAAGCGUUUGCUGGGGACUUGUGCUUCUUAAACGGGAAUAUUCAAAAAAUGCUGGGCAAUAUCUGCGCCACGGGGCACCAUCUCCCUCCACCGAAGAAGUCCUAGUCACUGCCAAAGUGUGAAAAUCGGGGUACCCAGAGGCACAGAAGCAGGGAGGACUGAGCAGUUGAGAGCAGCCACCCUUGUCCUGUCUCAGCAGCCACAUGGGACAGAUAGGCUUGGUUUUGCCGCAGGGGAUAGGUGUGUGGGCUGAGCUCAGCAAAUCGAAUAGCACACCUGGGAUGAAGUCUGUGUAGUUCUCAGCUUGAAACGAUUCCCCAUUUCAAGUCCAUAAGGCCCUCCGUGUACGGCGUCAGUUUUGCUUAGCUGCGGCAGCCACAAAGAAGCAAUUUAUUGAAGAGCUGAAACGGCUCUCCUUCAAUGGGCUGACAGGCAAAUAUUUGAGGGAACGCUUCGCUGGCCGCCUACCGUUGUGAACAGACAUCUGCCAGCGCUGUUGAUUGGCAUCCUUCCUGAGUUAAGUCAUCUUGCCCAGCCUUGCUAAAAACUCUCAAGUACAAGUUUAUUCUUGUCGCUUGCAUACCAUUCUCUGGAGGGCUGUUCUCAAGGAUGCCUGCAGAGAAAAGCUUCCUUCCUUUCCCCUCAGCCCAAGUCUCUGAGGACCAUAAGGAGGGGGAGUCAGGGAAACUUCCCUGGUAGAAGUGAAGAUCCAGGGCUGGAGAGAUGGCAGAGCAGUUAAGAGCACCAGCACCAACUGCUCUUCUGAAGGUCGUGAGUUCAAAUCCCAGCAACCAACCACAUGGUGGCUCACAACCAUCUGUAACAUCCCUCUUCUGGAGUACUUACAUAUAAUAAACAAAUAAUUCAAAAAAAAAUUGAAAAUCCAUUGUCAAGGUCUCUUCAGAUGGCAUCUUUGUUUAACUUUUGAAGCUCCACACAGCAGUCAGAUAAAAAUGAAGAUAUUAAGACUUUAGAAGAAACACUCGUCCAUAUCGCUAAUGGGUUUUAUGAUGAGAUGUGGAAAAACUGGUACCUAACUAUCCACCCUCCCUCACCAAGUGAUUGUUAAAUGUGUUUCCGUGAGAAACGAACUCAGCCAAAGAGUGCUCGCUGAACUACAAAAUCAACAUUCUGAAAUAGCUCCAUGGAUAUUUUCUGCUUUCAAAAUGUGUUUUGUCACCUCAAACUGUAUGGAAGCUUCUGGAAGCAUGCCGUGUGUCCUGCUGUCUGUGCUGUGGAAGGGCACAGCUCCCGCUGUCCUCUGCCGAGAUCAUUUUAUUUAACAAGGUUGUGAAAUCAACUAGGGUUCUUACUUUCCAUGGGAGAGAUCUAAGAUUUGGUGAGCUCACUGGCCCUCCUCGCUGUGGCUUGGGAUUGAAGUGUCCUCCCAGAGCUCAUGUAUUGAAAUAUAGUUGUGUUCAGAAGUGGGAGAUGAUUAGAUCUGGAAGAUUCUGGCCUCAUCUGGAUAUUGCUCCUUUGAGGGGUACAUAAGCUCAAAACAUCUUUGGGAAAUGGGGAACACUUGAAGAGGUAGGACUGGUCGGAGGAAACAGAUCCGUGGGAAUGUGUCUGGGAAGGCUGUGUCUUAGGCUGAGCAACUUUGCUCCCAUCAAGACUUAGUCCUGCCAUGAGCUUUAGCCUCAUUUUGGAACCAAAAUGACCAUGGUCUGGAACCUCUGAAACCAAGAUCUGAAAUUAAGUCUUUGUCUUUUUCAUUUAAGUUUCUGCUCUGCUAGUUUGUUACAGUAGUAGAGACCUGACUUACACAGCCCUACAAGAAGUGUUUUAAGAACUGGAUCCUGCCUGGUCCUUGAUUCUGAAGCCCAUGGCUUUGACUCUUCAUUGAGUACUAGAAUGCCAUAUUGAUCAGUUUUAUUGACUUAUUGGUUUUAUACUGAGAUCCAUAUAGUUUCCAAUUUCAUGUAAAAUGAGAGCAAAUAAAAAGUAUUUAAGAAC